rnacentral:rRNA from 1 species
UGAGGAAUAUUGCGCAAUGGGGGAAACCCUGACGCAGCAACGCCGCGUGAGUGAGGAAGGUUUUCGGAUCGUAAAGCUCUGUCAUUUGGGAAGAAAUGGCUGGAGGUUAAUACCCUUCGGUCUUGACGGUACCAACAGAGGAAGCACCGGCUAACUCCGUGCCAGCAGCCGCGGUAAUACGGAGGGUGCAAGCGUUGUUCGGAAUUACUGGGCGUAAAGGGCGUGUAGGCGGCUGAUUAAGUCAGAUGUGAAAGCCCUGGGCUCAACCCAGGAAGUGCAUUUGAAACUGGUCAGCUAGAGUACGGGAGAGGAAGGUGGAAUUCCUGGUGUAGAGGUGAAAUUCAUAGAUAUCGGGAAGAACACCGGUGGCGAAGGCGGCCUUCUGGCCCGAUACUGAAGCUGAGACGCGAAAGCGUGGGGAGCAAACA